GCGAGGGUGUCGAGGAUGCAGGGCAGAAGUAUGGACAAAGUUCACUUAGCCUUCUGUUGAUAGGACCCCAGGGGAGGCUGCCUGCCCCAAAGGGGUCUUUGCAACUAGAGAUGGUCUCCCGGUGUGAGCUGCAUUUGUCAUUUCUGGGGUAAACGCCAUGGGGACCCCCUAAUUUUUCAAGGGUGGCUGAAGGUGCAAGACUGCUCCUCUUUUUAGCAACAUAUAAAAAGUGGAACCCAGACAAAAUUGUUUUUGUUGGAAGAAGGAGAAGGAAACAGUAGACACUGGAAAAAAAAAAUAGUUUCAAACCCCAGAGUUAACGUCUUCACUUCUCCUUGUGAGGUUCCACACACACGUGUAGCUGUGGAAGCUGCGGGCUGGCUGUCCCCAGGGUCCAAGGAAGGAGCGAGCAGGACUCUGGAAAGCCUGUGUGGAGUGGGGCAGCAGAGAAGGCUAGCAUGGAAACCAGAUGGCUGUCUAGAGCUGCCAAGACUCAAAUGGUGUGAGCAGGAUGCUACUCCGUGGGCAUGGACUGGCCCAGCCAUGGAAGUUUCCAAACAGCGAGAAAACAUGUUCAGCUGUACCAUGACCUGCCAUGGAAUCAUUUGCCAGCGCAAUCCCAGACCUUGAUCGUGGGCUGCAUGCACACUCACCCAGCAGAGACGACAAUUUCUAUCAUUUGAGAAUCUUCCUUCAGGAGGGUGACGAUGUUGUUUGUAUAUUCUUUCCACGACGAAGAAAUAAAAAUGAAUCUAGAGGUUUAUGGAGAGGCAUAAAGGAGCUCUGGCCAUGCAGAAAUGAUUCACAGGGUGGAUGGACUCCAGUGUGAGAUGCCACAUCCAUCCGGUGAAUGACUUCGCCCUUCAGAGAGCAGUGUCAUCUCUGCGGGACGCCAACACUGAGACAGAGGCCGCAGCACCGGGCCACGACGGCUGAGUUGCCCUCAAAGUCAGGACGAGCAGAUUCUAGAACUGCUCGCGUGGUUUGCCCCCCAUUGCUCUCUACCCGAGGCCGUGUGAGACAGUGACACCGCUUUGCCCAAGCCCCUUGGGUGGAAUGGUCUGUAGUCUGCCGCCCAACACAUCCUAAGUGAGACGAGGAUCCCUCUCCCAGUCGGCACAGAACCCAGACUCAGGAGCCCUGGGUUGACUCCAGAGCCAGCUCCCCUGGGAAUCAGACCACCCUCUUCGCCUGCACAGCGUACAGGUGGAUAAGAUACGCACCAAGGCCGUUUCCAGCCAUAAAGUCCUGUUGGGUUAUCGCCACUCACAUUUGCCGUCACAGAUUCUGAGAUCGGCGGUGGCUUUGGUCUCAUCUUAUUUCCCUCUCACCUACUUUGGAAGACUGGUGACACUGUGUUUGCUAAGCCUCUCUUCAUGUCAGAGGCCAGGGAGGUCUUUGUUCCUGUUAAAAUGGGAAGUCAGGGGUGCCUCGGUGGCUCAGUUGGUGAAGCG